CCUGCUUCUCGGCCUUUUGGCUAAGAUCAAGUGUAGUAUCUGUUCUUAUCAGUAGCAUCAUAAUUAAUGGUGAACGAUUGGAAGCUUUUCCAGUAAAACCUGGAAUUACAGGAAUGUCCACUAAUCACUACCCUUC
rnacentral:snRNA from 1 species